rnacentral:tRNA from 2 species
GCUACUAUGGCUCAGUUGGUAGAGCGCGUCCUUGGUAAGGACGAGGUCACCGGUUCAAAUCCGGUUAGUAGCUCCA